GGCCUGGCCCCGGUCCUGGGGAAGGCUGCAGCUGCUCCCAAAGCCCCGGUCCCAGCAGACAAAGGCGCUUUCUUUCCCAGCACAAGGUCUUGAUUGCGUGUUGCCCUGGAUCCAAAAGUUCCUAUGAAGUAAGUGGUUCCCGGCCAGGGUGUGUGUGUGUGUGUGUGUGUGUGUGUGUGUGUGUGUGUGUGUGUGUACAUGGGUGUACGGGUGUGCUGGGCCCAAGGGAGCUGGGUUGUCAGCGUGGUCAAGCCCUCUCCCUGCCUCCUGGGUCUGGCUUGGUAUUUCUCCAUAUGCAUCCUUUGCACACGUCUUUCGCUGUGUAUUCCAUGUGCACACGUGUGGGGUGGGGCCGUAUGUGGGAGCAUGUUUGAGCACGUCUCUGCAGCUGUGUGCGUGACCGCCUCAGUGUAUGUACCUGUGCAAACGUCUGUGCACGCCAGCAUGCCUCCCUACGUGCUUGCAUCCCUGUGUGACCCAGUCUGCACCCAAGCGCUUUGGGGGUGUGUAUGUCUCGCAUGUGAGUCUACAUGAGACACCUGGGACCGGACCUCCUCCCGCCGCUGCCUCUGGCUGUGCCUCCUCAUCCUCCCCCUUCCCUGGCUGUGGCUCCACAGUGUGCGAGGCCUCCUGAGGUAGCCCCCUUCCUUCUCCCCUCCCCUCGCCCCCGCCCCGCCUCUGCAUUCGUCUGGGAACAACCUGGCCCCUUUCAGCUCUGGGAGGAAGACAGGUUUGUGCAGCUUGGCUUGGCCCAUACACUUUCCAAAAGUUCCCUGGCUCCCAGCCGAUUCUUUAUAAAAAGGCUCACGGGGAAUCGCCUAACAGGAAGGUGGGGACUCACGAGGGGGCUCAGGACCCCUGCUCCUAACCCCAAGAUGAAAUGGGAGCAUCAGUCAGCUGAGCCUCAGCUAGAGAGGGGACCCUAGGUCCUGAGGGUGAGCUUGGUCUGAGGACACUCCACUCUCAAGGGAGGGACACAGCAACUCAGGCUCCCAUGCCCAGGCUGGCAGAGCAGGGAGGGACUGGGCACAGGGAAGGCGAGGCCCACAGAGGUGCCCCAGGCCAUUUAGGGAGCUGAGCCCCUCCCAGGCAUCCUGCUGGCCAUGUCCCUAGGGACCCUUCUGUGGGCAUCCCUGGGUCUGCCCACCUUCAGGGAGGUGGGUGCUGCUGCCAGUCUCUCGCGGCCUCAGAGGGAGGUCUGAGGCCUGCCCACCCCUUGCUCCUGGCCCACAGAGCCUCUGGACCCAAUCACAAAGUCAGUCUUUGUACAGUGCUGGUGUCUUAGGGUGGGUUUUACCCGGCAGCCACCUGGCUCGGGCUGGUUUCUCCCAGCCCCACCAAAGCACAGGGGUGGGGGCUUCUGCCCUGUUCUCCCUACACUGAGAGCUGAUAUGGGGGGCACCACCCUCUAAUGGCACGGGGGUCCUGGAGGCCCUAGGGUGUUGAAAGGAGGGUUGCUCAAUGGGGUAAGAUCUGAUCCCGGGUGAAGUUCAGGACACAGGUAGCAGCCGCUCUCCCUGUCUGUCUGGGGGGGUUGGGGGGGAUGGGGGGGAUGGGGGGGAGGGGACACGUGAGCUGGUGCUGAAAGAGGGACCACAGUCACAGGGGGAAGGGCAGGCCCGGGCCACCCAGAAGAGCUCCCAGAAGCGUGCAGUGUAGAUUCGGCUCCAGGAGGCUCCUGGGUCCUGGAGUUGGAGAGGGCGCACUUGAGGAGGCUGGUCCUUUUGUCCUGUCCCCAGACCCCCCAGCCCCCAGCAGUCCACCUUCUCUUACCUGUCACUCUUCCAGGCCAGGGUCUGCUUUGGGAACUCAGAAGCCAGGCAGAGUCUCGUCCCUGAGAACUGAGCACAGACGGGCUGACUGGCUUAUUGCCAAAGGGAGGGUGGCACCAAGGAUACAGGGGUAACUAAUAAAAACAAGGUCAGGGUUUUGAGAACAUUGUGCACCCACUGUUGACCCUGCAGAGGAAGUACCACUUUGGGUGGAUGUUUUAUGUCUUUUCAGACCUGCUCCUUUUUAGUCCUGCUGGGGUGGCUGGGUCAGUGGGGUCCAGGCAGUGGAACAUGGCCCCUGUCCCUUGGGCUUGUUUUGGGGUGCUGGGUUGUGCACUGAGAGCGCUCGGCCUGCCUCUCCAUGCCCUUCCUGCAGGGGAGGCUAACUAUCUCCUACUCCUCUGGGGAAGGGAAGGAAGUGGCUGCAGGGGCUCAGUCGGCAAGAUUGCCUGCUCCAGGGCCACCGUCACUGUCCUCCACCCCUCUGUCUCUGUCUCUCUCAGAUGCACACCAACACUAGGACUCCUGGAGUCAAGGCCUUGUUCCUUAAAUGCAUAUACUCUGCUUCCUGAUGGGGACAUUUGACAAGGGACUGAGUCAGAGUAGGAGGGUCCUCCAACCUGGGGAGCCCAGGGGCCCCAGGGGCUGGGGUCAGGGGCUUCCUCAGGCCCCUGUGACCUACCUGACAGGACUGCACGUGUCCCCUCGCCACUCCCCAAAGGCAUUCACCCGGGCCUUGGCAGCCCCUCUGGCUCUUUGCUGGCCUGGAAAAUUUGGGAUCUGUGAAUGGAAAAGCCCGGAUCAGAGCUGGAGUGGGGAUGGGAGUGAGGGGGGUGGGUGGGAGCGGUGUCUAGAGUUUUCCUAGUCUGGCCUCCUCUUGGUCAGAGCCAGGAAAGAGGCUUAACACCUCAGCAGCCCUGAGUCACUGCCUGCCCUGCUCAACCUGGGCCCCCCCCAGCCCCUGCCUUCCUGUUAGCCUCCCCCGACUCACACCUGCAAGGUGGCCCUUGGUGGUAUCCCCCACUCUUGGGAAGUCCCUGAGGAUUCUUGGGGACUCCCAAUGUGCUGGGGAUAGAGAAAUGUGGGGCCCAAGUGUCAUCUUGAGUGGGUGAUACAACAGGCACAUACACCCCACAAGACCAGAGUCAAGGGGCCUAAUAAUUUGCCUAAGGAGGUUUUGCCAAGCUGCUUCAACCCGGCCUCUUGUCUGCUCCCGGCAAGUGCCCAGCACCUCCCCCACGUGGGGCCACAGCGUCUCCCUGGACCCCCCCCCAGGUGGAGAGCCCCUCUGGGAGGGAGAUGCUAGCUGCCAGGAUUGCACUGACCGGCACUCCCGAGCUUUUCCUUGUGUCCUGAGAGCCGGCGGAACUCCCCAGUGGGAGACAGGACAGUCCCCUCCCUUAAAACACAUCCCGAUUCUGUAUUCUCCCAGGUCACCUGCUGGUUGUGUCAGGAACCUGCCAAUGCCCAUGGCUCUGCAACCACUCAAGAAGCAAACUAUGUGCUCUGUGCGUCCUGGAUCCAAUCUGCAGACAGAUACUUGCUCAGUGGAUUUCGUUUUUUUGAAAACUGAACUUACUGCAUACGUUGAAAAGUCCAUCUUCUAUUGAAAAAAACACUCAGGGUAUUGGGGAACACAGAGCCCGCCUUCCCGCAUGGCAUCACUGGUUGUCGCCGGUCGAAGCUGUCCCUUUCAGUCAGGGCAUGAUCCCCUCCAUUUCCUAUUGCCUUAUAUUUGGCCCCUGUCCCUCACGUGUGUCGUCUGCCUUGCCCGGUAGGUGUGGGAGUCUACAAACACUGCCAGACUUUGAGAAGCGAGCCCACGGGCCACUGAUGCCUCCCCAGAUGGACACAGACCAUUGCUUAGUUUUGUUCGGGCACGGCUGUCCAGGCAGGGGCAAAGCCCACAGCUCUGCAUUUUGCCUGUCACAAUGGAAACCACACUGAGCUGCUCUGGUCACCCAAAGGGGAUGGAGGUGACUGUGGCUUGACCUGUUCUUGACGCACCCUUGGCACAUCUUUAAAAAUCCUUUCUACAGGGGCACCUGGGUGGCUCAGUCAGGUAAGCGUCUGACUCUUGGUUUCAGCUCAGGUCAUGAUCUCAUGGUUUGUGAGUUUGAGCUCUGCAUUAGGCUCUGGCUGACAGUGCGGGGCCUGCUUGGGAUUCUGUCUCCCUGUCUCUCUCUGCCCCUCCCCUGCUUGCUCUCUACCUCUCUCUCUC
rnacentral:lncRNA from 1 species